CGGAAGGUUACAUUUGAGUCUUACUUACUUCCUGUACAGACAGGCAGAAACUACAGGAAGCGGAAGGCAGAAAUUGCGCCAAAAUUUGAAUGAGAAUAUACAACAGCUGGAAUAUCUGCCCUGCACAAAAUGGCUCCAGUGGUUAGAAACAGGUGGUGGCAGAAUGGUUUUGUGGCAACUGCAAGCAUAUGGCAACUUCAUGUUUUUCCACAAGGUUUUGAGGCCAGUUUGCAGAUCUAGCAAUGUGAAGAGAGGCCAUGAUGCAUAAAAGGUCUCAACUCUGCCUGUGGAAGAUACUUUAUGCAAUAACUAGACUGCUACUGGCAGAUGAGAUGUGUAGCAUAUUUACAAAAACCUCACAUCCAGGCUACAAGUUUGAGGAGCGUUCACAGAUUUUACGAUGAGAGGAGAGAGGCGAUAUUGUGAAAAGAGCUCACUUCACCUCAGCUGGUGCUGUCACUAGAUGAUGCCCACUCAAUACAAUAACACUGUGUGGUGUAUGAUAUGUUGUACAAAGUUUGUGUAGAAGCGGAAGACUACAAGCUUAUCGGGACGACUUACAGAUUGCCGAUAACUUGAUCCAACGCCUUUAUGCAACUAUUCCUUGAUGGGAACUUGUGACAUCAGGCCAGCUGGCUUGUUGGAAUAUCUGUCCAGCUCAAACGGCUCCAGUGGUUAGAAACCGGUGUUGGCAUGGCAGAAGGUUGUGAGGCCAGUUUGCAGGUGAUGCUAAAGUCAACAGAUCUACAGCACAAGUUGCCAUACAGCCAACACUUAGUGCCUAGUUCAUUGUCAAAAGAAAUGUUUCUGUGCCUCCUUUGUUAAAACAGAUCUAACAAAGUGACGAGACAGGCCAUAAUAUACAAAGAGCGCUCUUCAACUGUCUGUUAAACAAAUGCGUCUGUGCAAUCACUAGACUACUGGCAGAUGAGAUAAGGUGUAGAAUGUUUCCAAAAACCUCACAUCCAGGCUGCAAGUUGGUUAUCCUGUCAAGCUACUGUUUUGCUGCAUGAAAAGGACACAUCUGCUGCUGAAGAUCUGCUACGUCAUUCUGCUGCACAAGAUGAGACGACAUCUCUAGUAGCGACAAACACUGUGGGGGACUUUAAAAAUGCAUGGAACAAGCAUAAGGCUAUCGUACAAACUAGAUACGUUUAUACUGUUAGGUGUUUUCCAGCUGGAGUGCGUGUGCGUGUUUUGAGUAACUGCUGCUCUCAUAACUCGGUGUACCCGUGGAAAGGGAUUGUCCUUGGCGUUCCUGUUUGAACUACAAACCUGACUAUUUAAUAAAAUGCUAAUAAAGUGUUUCUGAUAUCUGUUCUAUUAAUAAAGUUGUGACUGAUCUGAUCUUA